rnacentral:rRNA from 1 species
AACGUAGGACGCAAGCGUUAUCCGGAGUUACUGGGCGUAAAGCGCGGGCAGGCGGUUCCUUAAGUCUGAUGUGAAAUCUCCCGGCUCAACCGGGAGCAGCCAUUGGAAACUAGGGAACUGGAGGGCGAGGGAGGUAGGCGGAAUUCCGGGUGGAGUGGUGAAAUGCUUAGAUAUCGUCAAGAACACCGAUAGCGAAGGCAGCUUACUGGGCUGUAACUGACGCUGAGGCACGAAAGUGUGGGGAUCAAACAGG